GUGGGGAAUUUUGGACAAUGGGCGCAAGCCUGAUCCAGCCAUUCCGCGUGCAGGAUGAAGGCCCUCGGGUUGUAAACUGCUUUUGUACGGAACGAAAAGGUUCUCUCUAAUACAGGGGGCUGAUGACGGUACCGUAAGAAUAAGCACCGGCUAACUACGUGCCAGCAGCCGCGGUAAUACGUAGGGUGCAAGCGUUAAUCGGAAUUACUGGGCGUAAAGCGUGCGCAGGCGGUGAUGUAAGACAGAUGUGAAAUCCCCGGGCUCAACCUGGGAACUGCAUUUGUGACUGCAUUGCUGGAGUGCGGCAGAGGGGGAUGGAAUUCCGCGUGUAGCAGUGAAAUGCGUAGAUAUGCGGAGGAACACCGAUGGCGAAGGCAAUCCCCUGGGCCUGCACUGACGCUCAUGCACGAAAGCGUGGGGAGCAAACAGGAUUAGAUACCCCAGUAGUCC
rnacentral:rRNA from 1 species